ACCUAACCAAACUCCGAAUACCGGAAAGCGUGACCCCGGCAGACAGACGGCGGGUGCUAACGUCCGUCGUGGAGAGGGAAACAACCCUGACCGCCAGUUAAGGUCCCUAAGUCAUGGCUAAGUGGGAAAGGAAGUGAGGAUCCCAAAACAACCAGGAUGUUGGCUUAGAAGCAGCCAUCAUUUAAAGAAAGCGUAACAGCUCACUGGUCUAAAUAAGGGUCUUUGCGCCGAAAAUGUACCGGGGCUAAAGCCAUGCACCGAAACUGCGGGUGUGCACUCUGUGCACGCGGUAGCGGAGCGUUCUGUAAGUCUGCGAAGGGUGACCGUGAGGGAGCCUGGAGAUAUCAGAAGUGCGAAUGCUGACAUGAGUA
rnacentral:rRNA from 1 species